ensembl:lncRNA
GUUCUUGCCUGGAGAAUCCCAGGGACGGGGGAGCCUGGUGGGCUGCCCUCUAUGGGGUCUCACAGAGUCAGACACGACUGAAGUGACUUAGCAGUAGCAGCAGCAGCUAGGACAGAAAGAAGGACUGAUGCUGAAGCUGAAGCUCCAAUACUUUGUCCACCUUGAUGCAAAGAACUGACUCAUUGGAAAAGACCCUGAUGCUGGGAAAGAUUGAAGGCAGGAGGAGAAGGGGACAACUGAGGAUGAUGGUUGGAUGGCAUCACUGACUCACUGGACGUGAGCUUGAGUGAGCUCUGGGAGAUGUUGAAGGACAUGGAAGCCUGGUGUACUGCAGUCCAUGGGGUCACAAAGAGUCGGACAUGACUGAGCAGCUGAACUGAACUGAACUCCCCCAACAUGAAUGAAUCUUACUGUCUCCAUAGGUUUGCCUUUUCCAGUGUCAUACAGUUGGAAUCAUACAAUAUGUAAUUGUCUCAGAUAGGCUUAUUUCACUUAGUAAUAUGUAUUUAAAGUUCCUCAGUGUCGUGUCAUGGCUUGAUAACUCAUUUCUUUCCAGCACUGAAUAAAAUAUCAUUUCUCUUUAUACCACAGUUUAUUUUUUUACUGAAGAACAUCUUGUUUGGUUCCAAACAUUGGCGAUUGAAAAUAAAACUGUUAUAAGUGUGCAGAUUUUUGUGUGGACCCAUGUUUUCAACUCCUUUUGGUUGAGUGUGAUUGAUGGAUUAAAUGGUAAGAGUAUGUUUAGUUUUGUAAGAAACUGCCAAACUGUCUUCCAAAGUGGCUUACAUUGUGCAUUCUCAUCAGCAAUGAAUGAAUGUCCCUGUUUUUUCCACAUCCUUGCCAGUGUUUGGUGUUGUCAGUGUUCCUGAUGUUGGCUACUCUAAUAGG